AUUGAACGCUGGCGGCAUGCCUUACACAUGCAAGUCGAACGGCAGCACGGGAGCAAUCCUGGUGGCGAGUGGCGAACGGGUGAGUAAUAUAUCGGAACGUGCCCGGUCGUGGAGGAUAACGUAGCGAAAGCUACGCUAAUACCGCAUACGAUCUACGGAUGAAAGCGGGGGAUCGCAAGACCUCGCGCGAUUGGAGCGGCCGAUAUCAGAUUAGGUAGUUGGUGAGGUAAAGGGCUCACCAAGCCGACGAUCUGUAGCUGGUCUGAGAGGACGACCAGCCACACUGGGACUGAGACACGGCCCAGACUCCCUACGGGAGGCAGCAGUGGGGAAUUUUGGACAAUGGGCGCAAGCCUGAUCCAGCAAUGCCGCGUGCAGGA
rnacentral:rRNA from 1 species